CUGCUGGUGAUCUCAUGUCUCUCUUGGGCUUGUGACUGCCCUCGAGGCUGGGAUCCCAUUUCUGGAACUGAGUCUUUGCUGGAGAUCUGCAGCCCCACUGUGAGAGCCACUGCUGUGCAGCAAAGGGGUGACAGGAAAAGGCAAACCUUUAUGUUCCAGCUGACUUUCUCUAACAGAGCAACCGAUGUGCUUUUUCACCAGAACUAACUGAAGCACGAACUCAUUGGGACUGAAGGAAAACUGUCUCAGAGACAAAAGGUAUGCUGCUUCUCUGGUUUGCUGGCUAUAUGCCUGGUCUGAAAUCUGUGAAGUGUAAGUCUGCCUUGGGUUUUUCACUUUUUGCUCACCCUCUGUAGGCAUUACCAAGUUGUUUGUGCUUUCUGCUCUGAUUUUUUUUUUUUUUCCUUUGGGGAAAAAAUAACACAAUGGUUCUGCAUACUCCAGAUGUUGACAGUUCCUGACCUGAGUCCCAUGAAAAGAACACCCA
rnacentral:lncRNA from 1 species